GACGAACGCUGGCGGCGUGCUUAACACAUGCAAGUCGAACGCUGAAGCUCAGCUUCUGUUGGGUGGAUGAGUGGCGAACGGGUGAGUAACACGUGAGUAACCUGCCUCCUUCUUUGGGAUAACGCCCGGAAACGGGUGCUAAUACUGGAUAUUCACUGGUCUUCGCAUGGGGGUUGGUGGAAAGGGUUUUUCUGGUGGGGGAUGGGCUCGCGGCCUAUCAGCUUGUUGGUGGGGUGAUGGCCUACCAAGGCUUUGACGGGUAGCCGGCCUGAGAGGGUGACCGGUCACAUUGGGACUGAGAUACGGCCCAGACUCCUACGGGAGGCAGCAGUGGGGAAUAUUGCACAAUGGGCGCAAGCCUGAUGCAGCGACGCCGCGUGAGGGAUGGAGGCCUUCGGGUUGUGAACCUCUUUCGCUCAUGGUCAAGCCGCAACAAUGGUUGUGGUGAGGGUAGUGGGUAAAGAAGCGCCGGCUAACUACGUG
rnacentral:rRNA from 1 species